rnacentral:rRNA from 1 species
CGGAGGGCAGCAGGCGCGCAAAUUKCCCAAUGUCAAAAAAAAAACGAUGAGGCAGCGAAAAGAAAUAGAGCCGACAGUGCAUUUUGUAUUGUCGUUUUCAAUGGGGGAUAUUUAAACCCAUCCAAAAUCGAGUAACAAUUGGAGG